CCCUCGGCCGCCACGCUCAUGUCAUCAUUGCAAAACAUCAGCUUUGGAGAACUAUGCCACCUGAAUUCAUUAGCAGCCUUCUUUUCCCCGCGACAAGUUUCAAAGUUCAGACCCCUUCCAACGUUGGUAGGGGUAGGAGAAGGAGAAGGGGCCCGGGAAGGGGGUCUUUCAAAGUGGGGCCGCGGGGGGGUGGUCCUGGUCUCCUCCUUCUGAUGGGUCCUGCAGCUUUAAAAGCCUUCCUUGGGGUUCUGAGCGCAAAUGUCUGACUCGAACGACCCUGAGAUUUGGACAUAUUCCCGUUUUCUCUCAAGUGUUGCUUUUAUGUUGCCAGUUUAACUUCACUGAAAGAGGCCCACAGAGCAAGUCCAGCGAAUUUCACAGAGGCAUCAUCUUCUGUUUUAACGAUACAGGCAGUGAUCGUUUCUGAAUCGUAGCCUUUAGGGUGAACUCACAACAAUGCAUGUCAGAGAAGCUGCGCGCCCUACAGCAAACCAGCUAAAACUCCAGGCCAUGCUCCUCAGACUGCAGGAUUGCAAGUAGCUCACGGACUUCCAGUGCCCACUGAGGGCCGAGGGGAGGCGCGUCUCCGCGACCCAAGGACCUGCGUGCACGCCCGCUCUCCACGCCGGUCCCCUGCCCGCACCUGCCCAAGUGGCCUGGUCUCUCUAGAACCUGGACGGACUCCAAGCUGCUAUUCCCUCUCUGCAGCUUCCGAGGCUGGGAAAACUUCCUAGGAGAAGGCAAGAGACAGCCACGAGCCAGGGCCGAGGACUAAACGUUGGGGUCGAAGAGCGCAGAGGGGCGGGUUCUCCCCUGCGCACUCCAAGGCCUCUCCAGCACCCGCGAGGUCUAGCGCCCAGGCCCCCGAAAUGCCUGCCCUCCUCCUGACAAAUGGAGGGGGUGGGAUGUGGAGGGGUAGCGCAACCCGUUAUGUUUUUGUAAACACAAGAACAGAAAAAUAAAUGGAGGAAAUCUA